rnacentral:rRNA from 1 species
UUAAAUUGAAGAGUUUGAUCAUGGCUCAGAUUGAACGCUGGCGGCAGGCCUAACACAUGCAAGUCGAACGGUAACAGGAAGCAGCUUGCUGCUUCGCUGACGAGUGGCGGACGGGUGAGUAAUGUCUGGGAAACUGCCUGAUGGAGGGGGAUAACUACUGGAAACGGUAGCUAAUACCGCAUAAUGUCGCAAGACCAAAGAGGGGGACCUUCGGGCCUCUUGCCAUCGGAUGUGCCCAGAUGGGAUUAGCUUGUUGGUGGGGUAACGGCUCACCAAGGCGACGAUCCCUAGCUGGUCUGAGAGGAUGACCAGCCACACUGGAACUGAGACACGGUCCAGACUCCUACGGGAGGCAGCAGUGGGGAAUAUUGCACAAUGGGCGCAAGCCUGAUGCAGCCAUGCCGCGUGUAUGAAGAAGGCCUUCGGGUUGUAAAGUACUUUCAGCGGGGAGGAAGGGAGUAAAGUUAAUACCUUUGCUCAUUGACGUUACCCGCAGAAGAAGCACCGGCUAACUCCGUGCCAGCAGCCGCGGUAAUACGGAGGGUGCAAGCGUUAAUCGGAAUUACUGGGCGUAAAGCGCACGCAGGCGGUUUGUUAAGUCAGAUGUGAAAUCCCCGGGCUCAACCUGGGAACUGCAUCUGAUACUGGCAAGCUUGAGUCUCGUAGAGGGGGGUAGAAUUCCAGGUGUAGCGGUGAAAUGCGUAGAGAUCUGGAGGAAUACCGGUGGC